rnacentral:tRNA from 1 species
CCUGGUGGCUCAGAUGGUAAAGAAUCUGCCUGCAAUGCAGAAGACCCAGGUUCAAUGCCUGGGUCAGGA